rnacentral:rRNA from 1 species
GACGAACGCUGGCGGCGUGCUUAACACAUGCAAGUCAAACGGAAAGGCCCUGCUUUUGUGGGGUGCUCGAGUGGCGAACGGGUGAGUAACACGUGAGUAACCUGCCCUUGACUUUGGGAUAACUUCAGGAAACUGGGGCUAAUACCGGAUAGGAGCUCCUGCUGCAUGGUGGGGGUUGGAAAGUUUCGGCGGUUGGGGAUGUACUCGCGGCUUAUCAGCUUGUUGGUGGGGUAGUGGCUUACCAAGGCUUGGACGGGUAGCCGGCCUGGGAGGGUGACAGGCCACAUUAGGACUGAGCUACGGCCCGGACUAGUACGGGAGGCAGCAGUGGGGAAUAUUGCACAAUGGGCGGAAGCCUGAUGCAGCAACGCCGCGUGCGGGAUGACGGCCUUCGGGUUGUGAACCGCUGUCGCCUGUGACGAAGCGUGAGUGACGGUAAUGGGUGAAGAAGCACCGGCUAACUACGUG